rnacentral:rRNA from 1 species
UGGGGAAUCUUGGACAAUGGACGAAAGUCUGAUCCAGCAAUUCUGCGUGCGGGAUGAAGGUCUAUGGAUUGUAAACCGCUUUUCUGAAGGAAGACGAAUGACGGUACUUCAGGAAUAAGCGACGGCUAACUUCGUGCCAGCAGCCGCGGUAAUACGAAGGUCGCAAGCGUUAUCCGGAGUUACUGGGCGUAAAGAGUGCGUAGAUGGUUUAGUAAGUCUGAUUUUAAAGACUCUGUCUCAAGCAGAGGAA